AGGGCACCACCAGGAGUGGAGCCUGCGGCUUAAUUUGACUCAACACGGGAAAACUCACCCGGCCCGGACACUGGAAGGAUUGACAGAUUGAGAGCUCUUUCUUGAUUCAGUGGGUGGUGGUGCAUGGCCGUUCUUAGUUGGUGGAGUGAUUUGUCUGGUUAAUUCCGAUAACGAACGAGACUCUAGCCUACUAAAUAGAUCGUCGGCUUACAAACGCCGGCGAGACUUCUUAGAGGGACAGGCGGUGAUUCAACCGCUCGAAACAGAGCAAUAACAGGUCUGUGAUGCCCUUAGAUGUCCGGGGCCGCACGCGCGCUACACUGAAGUGAUCAGCGUGCUUUUUCAACCUACUCUGUCAAGAGUGGGGAACCCAAUGAACCUUCUUCGUGAUUGGGAUAGGGGAUUGUAAUUAUUCCCCUUGAACGAGGAAUUCCCAGUAAGCGCGAGUCAUAAGCUCGCGUUGAUUACGUCCCUGCCCUUUGUACACACCGCCCGUCGCUACUACCGAUUGUAUGUUUU
rnacentral:rRNA from 1 species